CACGAAAUUAGAUGAGCUAAUUUUGCAAGCUUUAUAGAGUUUUUGUGUGUAGUAUAACAUGAAUAAAUGCAAAGUUAGGGGUGAUAGGCCAACAAGUCUAAAGAUAUCUUGAUACCUUUGAAAUGCAUCAAGUGCAAUGACGACUUAGCAGUGAUAAGGCUGCUAAGUAUAAUUAAAUAUUAUAACUAAUGUUCCCUCGAUUUAAUCGUUUGGGUGGUGUUAAGUAAUAAUUAGGUUAUUUUAUUUGUUUUAAAUAGAAGGUAAUAGUUAAUUAUAUAGUUUAUUUAUAAUGUUAAUAUCAGUAAAGUAUUAGGUAUUAUUUAUGAACUCGGCAACACUUCCUUCAGCUGUUUACCAAAAACAUCGCCAGUAGCCAGUAUUAUUGGUCUUUUCUGCUCAAUGAGCAUUAAAUAGCCGCAGUACCCUGACUGUGCAAAGGUAGCGUAAUCAUUUGACUUAUAAUUAAAGUCCUGUAUGAAUGAAAUUAUGGGGGAAGGCUGUAUUAAUAUUAAAAUUCGAAUUUAUUAAAUAAGUGUAAAUACUUAUUAAGGCAUAAUAGACGAGAAGACCCUAGAAAUUUUAAAAGUUGUUGGCAAGUUUUUUUGUUGGGGCAACAGUGUAACAAAUAACUUACAUAAUAAACAUGAAACAUUAUAGAUAGAUAAAAUUACUCUAGGGAUAACAGCGUAAUAUAUAAAUGUUUGCGACCUCGAUGUUGGACUAGAGAACAACUGCCUAGAA
rnacentral:rRNA from 1 species